UAGGGAAUCUUCCGCAAUGGGCGAAAGCCUGACGGAGCAACGCCGCGUGAGUGAAGAAGGAUUUCGGUUCGUAAAGCUCUGUUGUAAGUCAAGAACGAGUGUGAGAGUGGAAAGUUCACACUGUGACGGUAGCUUACCAGAAAGGGACGGCUAACUACGUGCCAGCAGCCGCGGUAAUACGUAGGUCCCGAGCGUUGUCCGGAUUUAUUGGGCGUAAAGCGAGCGCAGGCGGUUUGAUAAGUCUGAAGUUAAAGGCUGUGGCUCAACCAUAGUUCGCUUUGGAAACUGUCAAACUUGAGUGCAGAAGGGGAGAGUGGAAUUCCAUGUGUAGCGGUGAAAUGCGUAGAUAUAUGGAGGAACACCGGUGGCGAAAGCGGCUCUCUGGUCUGUAACUGACGCUGAGGCUCGAAAGCGUGGGGAGCGAACAGGAUUAGAUACCCUGGUAGUCCACGCCGUAAACGAUGAGUGCUAGGUGUUGGAUCCUUUCCGGGAUUCAGUGCCGCAGCUAACGCAUUAAGCACUCCGCCUGGGGAGUACGACCGCAAGGUUG
rnacentral:rRNA from 1 species